rnacentral:tRNA from 1 species
UAACCUCUGAGCUAAGCGGGC